AUAGAAGAGCGUGUAGAAUCGAUAUUGCUAAUACCGUGGUAAAUCCCUUGACGCGCGCGUUUCACCCGACCAGGCUCGUCAGAAGGGAACCGGUCGGUGUGGAACACUCGGUUUAAAAAAGAGCCAGUGGCUCGUGAUUGGUCAAGUCAAAUGUUUCUGAUUGGUGGAUAUCUCAACGUCAUGGGCCAUAGACCCGCCCAGUUUAUGACGUCAGGGGAAGAUUGGUUGAUUAACCAUUUCAGGUCCCAGACAGAGAGCACACUAAUGUCGGAAGAUGUUAUUGAUAUCUUGGCUAAAAAACGAGGAUGGUAAUAAGGAAAAAAAAAAGAAGAUGUUUAAACAAUGUAGUCCAAUUCUGUUGGUAUAAAUAAUAUAUGCCCAUUAAUACCACAUUGAAGUGGUAAGAAUAUAUCUGUAUAGGAAAUGUAUAAUUAACACUAUUUAUAUCAUGGUCAGAAGGACCAAAGGUAAUAAAGGCUAGCCCUUCUGAAUGUAAAUUGUACGAGAGGAUUAUAUGGAUGCAUGUAAAACUAAAGAAUAAAUAUAAACAAAAAAUCGCCUAGAAGUGUGCUCAAUUAUUUUAAUUAAAUUAAGACUGUGUAUUGUCAUUGGAUACAAAAUGACUAGAUAGAACAGAUGUGUGUGGUUACUUGAUAGCAGAGUGUAGCAAAGAGGCAGAUCGAACUGAAUAGGUGCCGUGCAAGAGAGCACCAAAUUUUAACGGAAUCUGUAAUUAUACACAGAGACACUUGAUAAAGAAACCUUAAUCUUGUUGUCGAAUAUGGUAGUAAUAGCUUCUUAAUGCACCCAAAAUAAUUAGGAACAUGAGAGGGUCCCCUAUAAGUGUGACUGCUUAAAGUUAUAUAAGAAUCUAGAUAUAUAUAACCUGAAGUAAUGCAAUAGUAGGGAUAGGUAGGGAACACAUCUUGUUGCACCAUGUGUAGCUCGGUGAGAAGGGUAAGUAUAUGUGUG